rnacentral:rRNA from 1 species
GGCCUCUUGCCAUCAGAUGUGCCCAGAUGGGAUUAGCUUGUUGGUGAGGUAACGGCUCACCAAGGCGACGAUCCCUAGCUGGUCUGAGAGGAUGACCAGCCACACUGGAACUGAGACACGGUCCAGACUCCUACGGGAGGCAGCAGUGGGGAAUAUUGCACAAUGGGCGCAAGCCUGAUGCAGCCAUGCCGCGUGUAUGAAGAAGGCCUUCGGGUUGUAAAGUACUUUCAGCGGGGAGG